rnacentral:tRNA from 1 species
GGGUGGGUGGUUCAGUGGUUAGAGCCUAGGGCUUGAAAGCGAAAGGUCCCGGGUUCGAAUCUAAACUAAAUUU